rnacentral:lncRNA from 1 species
CGCGAAUUUUAAACUGUACUUAUGUUUUUCUCCUGCGUUACUGUUGGUAAAAUGAUAUUUCCCCGCAGCAUGUCCCAUCCUUACUUGUAUUUUUCUGUUUUAUUUUUCGUUGUAUAUGGUAUAACUACACAGGUUUAUUUGGUAGUCUGGUCGUAGCCUCGUCACUACUUCGUCAGGGUUAGGCUAGGCACUUACCAGCAUAUGGGGUCGGUUGUGCUGAUACUACACUCUGCACCGUGUGCAGAUCCCGAAGCAGCAACAUUUGGACCUUAGUUUGGGUGGCUGCCUUCAGUCCAGUUGGAGAUUCCGAGGUAGUCCUGCAGGCGUCCGCAGGCCCUGGCGUCUCCUUCUAUCCCUUUAUCCUGUUUCAUUUACAUAUUUUAGAAAUAGUGUAUCAUUUAUUUUUCAGAUCUUGUUUGUAGUAAUUCUAGACUGUUUAUGAAGCGUGACACCAGUUCUGGGUAGAUUUUAUUUAAGAUGUUGUGUUGGAUAUAUAUAUUCAAAUGGUUUUAUUGAUUCUUCCGCUUGUUUAAAACUUCGCUGCUUAUAAGCUAUUAUUUCAUAAUUGUAAAGGAUUAAAAAUGGGAAAAAGGGAUAAUUUGUUCAAACUGUUAGCUUGUCUAACUUUCAUUAGUAGGCGCCAUCACGACUCCCGAGGGUGGAAAAUCUGGGUCAUGACAUCAACACACAAAAGACUCGAGGUCGUUCCCACCUAAUAAAAGAAAAAUAAAAUACUAUGAGUUCUACUUUCGGCCUCCAAAUACAAAUACUUCGGGGCAUAACCCAGAUAAAAAUAUAUACAGAGUCUAUGGGACAUUCCCCUAAAUAUAAACUAAAGGGAACGACCUCUCACCUUGGAUAAAAUAAUAGAAAGGCCUUAAAGUUUGCCUACCCAAUUGUGGUCGACCUAAGCAUGCUCCUAGCGAUUGAGAAAAAUAGAAAUAAAAUUAAACUAAAGUAAAUAAAACUCAUUUCUUUUUCACCUUCUUUUAACUCUUCAUUUCAUGUAUUUGACCCACCUCAAUUUCUAAAACGCGCGAGCAAUUUGAAUCACUAAUGGGAUAGGCCUCUACCAAACUCCAAGGCUCAAUGCCACAUAAACAUGCCACAGAAUAACUGUGAAGAGCAAAUAAACAUCCAAACAUAGGAAGUGAACAAACAAACAAGAGGAAAGGUAGGUAAUAAGACAAAAGAAAUGGUGGAUUGAAAUAUGAUAAGAGCUUUAAAACUUCUCCUUAAUCUCAUCCCUGUACCCACAUCUCCUAAUUUUCUUAAAACCAAAUAAACUCCAAACAACAUCUAACAAAUAAUCCAAGCUAAAAUCAAAUAAGCUUCAAACAACAUUUAAUAGAUAAUUCUACGAUUGAUUAAGCCUGCAGAACUCAACAACAAACAUUGAAUUUAAUUCUUCACUUCUUAUGAUCUGACUAACUCAAACUGAUGAUCCAAAAUUCCCACACAAAUGCCAGCAGUGAUAAAUUAGCAUUCCCACCACAACAUAUUAAACUAGUCAAGGUAGAAAGGGAAAAUUCCAACAUGAGAUCAAAUUCGGCGCGAAGCAACAUGAUAAGCUCAUGACUACUAAAUAGUAAGGUUUUAAAUGAGUUAGGAUUCAACAACCAAGAAGAAAACAAUUUCAAGGGAGUGAGGAUUAGGUACACAAGACUAGAUUAACUAAAAAGAAGACGAAGGGCAAUGCAUUCUGCUAGAACCACAACAAGAUUUAUGAAAUAGGCACAGAGCUCCAACUAAUAGCCAGAAGAACUAAUUUUAUAACCAGGCAAACAAACAGGAGCAAGGGAAACUAAUAAUCACUCAAUUGAACAUCAAUAUAUCCUACAGGAAAGAAACAAAAAUAUGAAAAUGCACCAGAAAUCUUUAUGCACCAAAGAACUGUCCCAAAACGCGUGGUGGAGUGUCGUUAUCCUAUACAAAUGGAAGCUAAAUAAACUGAUUUGGAAUUAAUUGAAGGCGUUGGAACUAUAUGAACUGAUUUUUUGCACCUAAAUUCUAGAAGAUCAGCAUUACAAACUCAAGAAAUCAAAAGCAAAGAUUUGACCAUUUCUGAACUUAACGGGGAUAUCAGACCCUCAUUUGAAGGGAAUGAUCACACUUAAGCCCCCACAAAAAUUGAAGCAAAUGGGAUGAAAUAGAGACAUACUAAUCUGGAUUGUAGCGACUUGAACAAUGAUAGUUAUGGCUUAAGUAUCGAUUUUAUUACUCAGACAGCACAAAAUAAUAAGAACAAAACUCGAAUAUUUCCAUCAAGAGCAGAACUACAUUUGAAACACAUAUUCAAACACAAAUCCAUUCAAAACUGUCUAUUAAGCACAUAUAAACUCAUUCUAUACCCUUAAGAUGUUGUAGACACUAAUGAAUCCCAAACGACCACCAUAGCUCUUAUCAUAUUUCAAACAACCCCAAAAUAGAUUAAGAAAGAUUAGAGAUAAACCUGAAUCAGCAGACACUUUUAAUUAACUUUGCUCGAACGCUAAAUACACGUGAAAUCCAGCAGCGAAGAUCAAAACCAACAGCAACAAAAAAAAACAGGAAUCCCGAGCCACAGACGACCCUCAAGUUAGCGACUCGAUCACUUGAACCUCGGGCAUCAACGACUUCAACAACCUUGGCUCGACUCCAUUUACUAACAUAGAUUGAAGAUGAAACUGAAAUCCGACUCUACACUCACUAGAAAACAGAAACGUAAAAGGAAUCUUUUGAAAUGACCUAAAAUCUAAAAUCAAACUCGAAGAUGAGAAGAAGCUCAAUUUUCUUCUCCAAAUCUUAGAGCAGAGAAGAAGAGCCCCUUUUAAAAACCCCUAAUUCUCCUCCCAAACCCACAAAUAUAUACUCCAUCUCGAAACUUCUAUACUUGUCUUCCAAGAAAACCCAAAAAUCUUCCAAACACAUCCAAAAUUCGGUUUUUUGAUCAGUAAAGGACAAGUGGAGGGAGUAGAUUGUGUUUAACUCAAUUCUAUGCCCCCAAUUAAUCCUAAUCUAGUCUUCAAAUGAAAUUCGGGUGAGAUGAGCGUAUGAGAGAGAGGCGGCCUCGAUUUGUCAGAGUUUGUUACGGAUUCAGCUGACGUGGAAGGAAUAUGAGGGGAGGGGACCAUGGAGGGUUCGUUUAUGUUGGGGUUUGGGUUGGGUUAAGGUGGGAGAAGGGUUUGAGGGAGAAUAGGAGUGCGGCUGAGGUCUU